rnacentral:rRNA from 1 species
UACGUAGGGGGCAAGCGUUGUCCGGAAUGACUGGGCGUAAAGGGUGUGUAGGCGGCCGAUUAAGUCUGGAGUGAAAGUCCUGCUUUCAAGGUGGGAACUGCUUUGGAGACUGGUUGGCUUGAGUGCGGAAGAGGUAAGUGGAAUUCCCAGUGUAGCGGUGAAAUGCGUAGAGAUUGGGAGGAACACCAGUGGCGAAGGCGACUUACUGGGCCGUAACUGACGCUGAGGCGCGAAAGCGUGGGGAGCGAACAGGAUUAGAUACCCUGGUAGUCCACGCUGUAAACGAUGAGUGCUAGGUGUAGGAGGUAUCGACCCCUCCUGUGCCGGAGUAAACACAAUAAGCACUCCGCCUGGGGAGUACGGCCGCAAGGUUGAA